CUAGCACAUUAUGAUGCACCGACACUCCUCUAGGUCGUCGUAUCGGUGUGUUAGGACACGGGGGACACGGCUAGAAAUGUUUCCAACACACCACAUGCCACGUGGUGUGUCAAAUAAUUUAGUUUAAAUUUUUGACGGGGACACGGGGUGACACAGGUGGGACACGUAUGGGAACACGACGGGGGUGCAUUUGUAUUUUUAAAAUUUUUUUGGGGGUAAAUAUGUUAUUACUCAAAGUUUUGGGUUAAAACAUAAUUAAAACAUAUAUCGACUACUUUAAACCCUAAUUGGCUUCUCUCUCAUCUCUCUCACAAUCAACAGCAGCUCAGAGCUAUCUCACGAUCGACAGCAGCUCUCGCAAUAUCUCUUCGAGUCUCGCAAUCUCUCUCUCUCACUCUCGGUAUGUAUGAGAUUGGCUUGUGAUUUUCAACGGACCCAACAACCAUAAAAUGUUCAGCAGUGAAGACUUUGAAAGAGUGCCUCAUCCUUGUCAUUCAUGCCCCGGUCAAGUUUGGGAAACAGUCACUAAAUUCAAACAUCCAUUCAAGUUGUGAUGAGUUAUUUUGAAGGGAACCGUUGAUGACAACAGCGGGGAAAUUGCACCGAGUCCUCCAUAACAGGUAAAUAUUCUCUGGUCCUUCUUGGUAGACAGAGAUCAAAUAUCAUACUUUACUAUAUAGUCUUAGAUUGGUACACAAGUUACUAUUCAUUGAGUCCACAUUAGAGAGGCAAAAAAAAACAACAAAAAAGUACCCGAUUUAUAUUUUGAUUAGUGGGAUCCCAAGGAGACAGGAAUUAAAUAGAUACACAAACAGUCUAGCCCAACCCCAUUUUAAACAGGGACGGAGCCAGAAAUUUCACCACGCAGGGGCGACCGUGCAUACGAAAAAAUAAAUAAAUACACAUGUAUAAUCACGUAAAUACAUUAAAACUCAAAAUAACAUAAAUACAUAAAUCGGUUUAACUAAUGAGAUCGAUCUUGAUGUAUGUGUCUUAUUUUUCUUUAUUGUUCAUCUUUUUUUUCAUUCAUCACAACUAGACGAAUUCAGUGCAUAGGUUUUCAUGUUACUUGAUCUUACCAGUCAAAAAAUAAAGAAUUAGGAGAUGUCUAGAACAACAAUUGGGGAAAGACAUACCUACAACUUAAAUUUCAUCAAAAUUACUUAGGGUUUCCAAAAUCUCUUCUCCUUUGUCUCUAUUUUCUCGAAAUUGCCUUUGAAGUCUUAACAAGUGGGGAUGUUUAUGCCGAGAGUUUGUGCCGACGGGGGCGGGGUUAAGGGGGAUUUGGUGUGCCAUUGAGAUUUUAGGGCAAAAAGAAAUAAAACUGUAAAACACUAAACCCAUCUAACGAAAGGUGGAAGCAAUGGCGUAGCCAGGAAUUAACGAUAGUGGGGGCACUUUUUAAACACACGUUAACAAAAAAAAAAAUUCAUAAUUAGCAACACCAAAAUAAUAAAAGAAUACUUGUGCUAAAAAUAAUUUAAAAAAAAGCUAACACAUUUAGUAAGGAAGGUAGUAAUUUCAUAAACUAUCAAAAUAAUCAAUUGUUUGAAUUGUCUUAAUGGACCAAGUCUAAUAGCAGUUAGAUACACAAUAACUAAAAUGUUAAUAUUUAGCAAUCUUGAUCCAAUCAGAAAAAAUGUGCUUUUCUUUUCAAAUUUUAUGCUUAAACCUCUAAUUUCGUCACGCGUUGUGAGUUCUAUUGACAAAGACAAGAUUACUUUCAAAAUAGUGAAUAAUUAAUGAAGUAUAAUGCAUAUAACCCAUGGCUUAGCCACUUACAAAUUUGGACAUUAUGUAUUGAGGAGUUUCAAAUGGUGAGUCGUGACUCUUUUUAUUCAUUAAACAUCUCACUUCGCAAGUGUAGUAGAAUUGUUGUAAUAUUGGAAACAAAAAGUUGCGAAUGAAAUAUAUACAAAAUGUAUUAAAGUAAUUAAACAAAGAAUAAUUUAAGAAGCCAAUUACAGGGAAAAAAUACAAAAUCUGAAAAAAAAAAA